UACGUAGGUGGCAAGCGUUGUCCGGAAUUACUGGGUGUAAAGCGCGUGUAGGCGGCAGACCAAGUCGGCGGUGAAAGCGCCCGGCUCAACUGGGCGAGGUCCGUGGAAACUGGUCAGCUGGAGGACGGUAGAGGCGAGUGGAAUUCCCGGUGUAGUGGUGAAAUGCGUAGAGAUCGGGAGGAACGACCUGUGGCGAAGGCGG
rnacentral:rRNA from 1 species